rnacentral:tRNA from 1 species
GCGGGGAUAGUUCAGUUGGGAGAACGUUAGACUGAAGAUCUAAAGGUCGUGCGUUCGAUCCGCACUCACCGCA